rnacentral:rRNA from 1 species
GAUGAACGCUGGCGGCGUGCUUAACACAUGCAAGUCGAACGGGAAUUACUUUAUUGAAACUUCGGUCGAUUUAAUUUAAUUCUAGUGGCGGACGGGUGAGUAACGCGUGGGUAACCUGCCUUAUACAGGGGGAUAACAGUCAGAAAUGGCUGCUAAUACCGCAUAAGCGCACAGAGCUGCAUGGCUCGGUGUGAAAAACUCCGGUGGUAUAAGAUGGACCCGCGUUGGAUUAGCUUGUUGGUGGGGUAACGGCCCACCAAGGCGACGAUCCAUAGCCGGCCUGAGAGGGUGAACGGCCAGAUUGGGACUGAGACACGACCCAGACUCCAACGGGAGGCAGCAGUGGGGAAUAAUGCAAAAUGGGGGAAACCCUGAUGAAGCGACGCAGCGUGAAGGAAGAAGUAUCUCGGUAUGUAAACAUCUAUCAGCAGGGAAGAGAGUGACGGUACCUGACUAAGAAGACCAGGAUAACUACGUG